rnacentral:rRNA from 1 species
GACGAACGCUGGCGGCGUGCCUAAUACAUGCCAGUUGAGCGAUGAAGCUUGGUGCUUGCACCCAUUUGAAGAGCAGCGGACGGGUGAGUAACGCGUGGGGAAUCUGCCUUUUAUCGGGGGACAACAUUUGGAAACGAAUUCUAAUACCGCAUAACAACUUUAAACAUAAGUUUUAAGUUUGAAUGAUGCAAUUGCCUCACUCAAAGAUGAUCCCGCGUUGUAUUAGUUAGUUGGUGAGGUAAAGGCUCAACAAGGCGAAGGUACCUAGCCGAGCUGAGAGGGAGAUCGGCCAACAUGGGAAUGGAGAAAGGCCCAAAAUCCUUAGGGGAGGAGCAGGAGGGGAACAUCGGCAAUGGGGGAAAAGCUGACCGAACAACGCCCGGUGGGUGAAGGAAGUUUUCGGAUCGUUAAACUCUGUUGGUAGGGAAGGAAGUGCAGGAGAGUAAAAAGCUCAUCAAGUGACGGUAACUAAACAGAAAGGAACGGCUAACUACGUG